rnacentral:siRNA from 1 species
CUUGGUAAGAUUCCGGACCUC